rnacentral:rRNA from 1 species
AACGUAGGUCACAAGCGUUGUCCGGAAUUACUGGGUGUAAAGGGAGCGCAGGCGGGAAGACAAGUUGGAAGUGAAAUCUAUGGGCUCAACCCAUAAACUGCUUUCAAAACUGUUUUUCUUGAGUAGUGCAGAGGUAGGCGGAAUUCCCGGUGUAGCGGUGGAAUGCGUAGAUAUCGGGAGGAACACCAGUGGCGAAGGCGGCCUACUGGGCACCAACUGACGCUGAGGCUCGAAAGUGUGGGUAGCAAACAGGAUUAGAAACCCCUCCGGCUGACUGACU